CUGUAAUAGCGUUGUAGUUGCGUUGCUUUUUGUCUUUUUUUUUUGCCCGCCCAGCUUCUUUAAAGUGGACGCUGCUAUGGAGGACACCGCUCUAGAAAUGAAAAUAUGGCCCUCACCACGCUCGUUCGUUCCUCCGUGGCCGUCACGAACGAGCGGAUUCCUUCUUUUAUGCGAAUGGAGAAAUAUCUCGAUGUUGUGGCGAUGUCGUACGUGUUUCUGUCGGCCCAAAUAUUAAAGCAACUGCGAACGACGACCGUUGAUGUCAGACCUUCAAGUCCUAUCGACCACGGUUUCCUUUUUGCCGCCAGAUGCCUGGACGAUCAAUUUUGCCGCACUUCCUGAGCGCGGCACGCCGAAUUCAUGGGCGUAAGGUGAGGUGGUGGUCUUCUGUACCAGGGCAGCAUAUAGGCAAGAUGUUCAACUGAUCUUGAUCCAGCUCACUCUUUUGAGGCAGCUGUUGAUGACAGCCUGUCCUCUGCCCGUGCUGCCAACUGUCACAGGUACCUGGCUGUAUGCAUGGACGAACUUUGUGUGCCGCAAAUGUGUGUGCGUGGAAACUUUGGUGAAAUUUGGUAAUGUUAGUGCGGGCAUACAUGGAAAAGAACGAUGAGGACAAGAAGCCGAGCCAGCGACAGGUGGCACAAGAGGAAAAAGAAGAGAGGCGCGUGGGGAUCGUGCAAAGAGCCGAUCAAGACCUAGCCGAAGAACGCGCCGUAUUAGAGUGCUGUCCUUAGAGGUUUUUGUGGCAUGCUAACAGAGAGGGCCUGGUGCUCGCCUGGUGGUCCUGACGGCGGCUCCAGCUGGGACACGCCGGACCAGGGCGCUGUCUGAGGAGUUUCACCUUCCUGUUCCCUGGGGAUCGAGGUUCGGGAGCAGCUGUAUUUGUCCGGGGUCAACGACACUGGGUGCGGCUCCUGCUACGUCGGCGUGCGCGGCAGGGACGAGGGGUUUCUGAUUGCCGUCGCCAGCUAAGACGGCUGAAAGCCAUUUAUGAACGUGAGGCCUGACGGAGGCCUUGUCUCCUGCUGCUCGCUACGGGCAAGGGUCGUCGCCGUGCGUGGACUGUCGCCUCCUCGGGAUGCUGGUUCAACAAACUGUGAGCUAUUGUGUAGCCACGUAGGUUAGACAGUAACCACGCAGACCUUAGGUAGUUGUACUUUUGUGCUUAGUAGGUGUACUUUUGUGCUUGUCGUUGUGAAAGUUGAUGGAAUCCCUUGUUCUUAUAAAUGUUGUUCAAAAUCUACUCUGGCGUCAUCUCAUAUCGUUCAUUUCGUUGACCACGCACUGGCAAAUGUGAAGAACCACCCCUGUUUUUACACUGGCAAUGUGGCUGCUGUUUAGGUUGCAGUUGUGGUGAACUCCAAGUGCGACACACUGGCAGGGGCACAGUUUGCCAUGGUGCUCUUUGAGUGACUGUUGCUGUUCUUGUCACCAUUGAUGAGCAGCUGAAACUUGAGUGCAAUUUCUGAAGCUUCAUUGGUGGCGUUAUUGCAACGUCCCUCUCAAAGUGUCAAUAGACUCCCAUAACAAAGGAAAGCCUGACAAGAGACGUUUAAAUUUUCAGAGAACCUCAUAUAGCCAGAGGGACUACACAGUCCAUGUAAAAAGCUUUGCAAACUUCUAAGCAUAUCUACGUCAGUGAGUGCACUCCCUUGUCUGUUGCAUUCCUUCGUAAAUAGCCUACAGCCUCAAAUAUUUCAUAUCAGUGUGAAAGCAUGUUUGUUUCCUUUGUGCUGCUGUACUGUGUAACGGCGUAAAUCAUUGCCCUGUGCAUCUACCCUCAUGCAGUCUCCAUAAAAUGAGGUAUUGGCCUAUGCUUAAGAUCGGGGCAUGUAUUCUUUUCCUCAUCCUCCUGUAUAUGCCACAUCAUACACAUAUCUAGUGCAGCGCUAUGUGCGUUUGAUAAUUUCCAUUACUUGGUAUGCAUUAAUAUUAUUUCUGAUAUUACACAUCUUGAAUUAGGCUAGUACAAUGUACAUAUCAAUAUACCGUGUGACCUGGUUUGUACAUUCCUCCAGUUUAUGUCGACACCUAUUUAUGACGAAAUUGCUAGUUGACAGGAAAACAUGUCAAAAUAUGUAAUUUACUAAAGACCUAAAAUGUGUACUAGUUUACUGAAAACUAUUGUGAGAGGAAAGUUGCUACCAUGUACAACACCUUUGUUGUCAACUGAGAAUCUAAUAAAAUACUGCAUUUACUAGAA